rnacentral:lncRNA from 1 species
AGACACACCCUCUUUUGUCAUCGAUGGUGGAGAGGUGUAGGUCUGGCAGAUCCAUGCCCUUCCAGCAUGGCGGACUGCAGGUUGCCCGUCCCCCAUCACUUGGCUCUCUUCUCUGCUCCUAGGCAAUGUGCUGGCCUUCCUUCCCUCAGGUGGCUUCUCUCCUUUGGCUGCUGCAGAAACCUUUUCUGUUUUCUUGUCAUAUUGCAGCUACCAGGACUGGACUACUCUUUCUCCUUGCUCUCUCCUUCCCUUUGUCUUGGGGACAGCACCAGCAUCAGAGGCUGCAGGCUUCACGCUACUCCCUGCUCUGAGGAAUCCACCAUUCUUCCACUUUGGACGGAGGUGCUGAACCCUCUUCAUCCUGUGUUAGAGUGCUUCAAAGAGCAAUACAAGACACUGGCCAGAGUCCUGUGACACUACGUGACACAAGCUGCCCGUGCAGGCUGUCCACAUGGAAGGAAGUGGGCAGGAGCCAGCCCUGAGGACCACCCUGCAGCUUCUGAGUGAGCUGAGCAUCUGUUCCCCGGAUGCCAGUGCACAAGUGCAGGACGCCAGGGCACAGCUGAACCGUUUGCUGCAGGAACUGAAGGGCUUGGUCCCUGAGAAAGACCUGGAGUUCUGCAGGCUUGUCAGCCAGGCGGUGGAACUUUCCUCCCAGGCCAGUAAAGCUGCAGCUCUGACAAACCAGGAAGUCUGGGAAAAGGCACAGGGCACCCUCACCUGUAGCCAGUGGUACUUCAACCCAAGAUGCCCACCGAGGACCAUAGACCCCUCCCAGGACAGGAUGAAUUACAGCAGGCCUGACCCUUGAUUGCCUCAGGCAGACUGCCCAUCCGGCCACUUGGUGAGCAUUUUCUAGCUGCCUUUUCUGCUCAUUUCCAUUUCCUCAGGCCUCCUCUUUGUGGACUGAAGGAAGUUUGGUGGUCCAGUAUUCUGAAACACUUGCACACUUUGGUUUUGGUUUGCUUUGGGUUUGGUUUUUUUUUUUUUUUUUUUUUAAUUUUGCGAAACAGGGUUUCUCUGUGUAGCCCUGGCUGUCCUGGAACUCACUUUGUAGACCAGACUGGCCUCAAACUCAGAAAUCUUCCUGCCUCUGCCUCCCAAGUGCUGGGAUUAAAGGCAUGCACCACCACCACCUGGCUUGAUGAUGCCCUUGAGGUGGGAAGACACACCAGCCCCUCGGGUUUGGAUCCUAGAGUAAGUAGAGAAAGCAAGCUGAAAAAAAAAUAAUAAAAUAAAAUAAAAGUAGUCGUCUAACAGCAACA